UCAUAUUUUGGUGUUCUAAUGAACUUAGUUUUGGCAUGUAAAUAUUAGCAUUGAAAUGGUUGAUGAUUUGCUUAAUAUGUUUGAACGGUGAAAUGGUAGUUGAAUGUGCAUAUUGUAUAUGUUUAUAACUUGAUGUGAAUUGGUACUUUGCUAUGGAAGACAUAUAUGUAUAUUACGCCUAGUAAUUGAGUAGUAUAUUUGGUAUCAUUUGGUAAGUUAAUUCAAUGGCUUCUAUUGAGGCAAAUCUAGUUGGAAAUUAG
rnacentral:lncRNA from 1 species